rnacentral:rRNA from 1 species
GAUGAACGCUAGCGGCAGGCCUAAUACAUGCAAGUCGAACGGUGUCUUCGGACAUAGUGGCGCACGGGUGCGUAACACGUAUGCAACCUACCUUACAUUGGGGGAUAGCCUUUCGAAAGGGAGAUUAAUACCGCAUAAGACAGUAACUAGGCAUCUAGUAGCUGUUAAAGAUUUAUCGAUGUAAGCUGGGCAUGCGGCCAAUUAGCUAGUUGGUGAGGUAACGGCUCACCAAGGCAAUGAUUGGUAGUGGAACUGAGAGGUCAAUCCCCCACACUGGCACGGGGAACCGGGCCAGACUCCUACGGGAGGCAGCAGUAGGGAAUAUUGGGCAAUGGACGCAAGUCUGACCCAGCCAUGCCGCGUGCAGGAUGAAGGCGUUAUGCGUUGUAAACUGCUUUUAUACAGGAAGAAACGACUCUUGCGAGAGGCAUUGACGGUACUGUAUGAAUAAGCACCGGCUAACUCCGUGCCAGCCGCCGCGGUAAUAC